rnacentral:rRNA from 1 species
UCACGAAAGUGGGUUGUACUAGAAGUCCGCACGCUGACUCGCAAGAGGGGCAGCGGCCCAAGGUAUGACUCAUGAUUGGGGUG